rnacentral:rRNA from 1 species
ACGAACGCUGGCGGCGCGCCUCAUGCAUGCAAGUCGAACGAGAACUAGAUCAUUCGUAAGAUUGAUCUAGGGACAGUGGCGAACGGGUGCGUAACACGUGAGGAACCUGCCCUGGAGAUCGGGAUAGCCCGAGGAAACUCGGAUUAAUACCGGAUAUGCUCACCGGACCGCAUGGUCUGGUGAGGAAAUGGUCCGCCGCUCCAGGAUAGUCUCGCGGCCUAUCAGCUUGUUGGUGAGGUAAUGGCUCACCAAGGCUCCGACGGGUAGCUGGUCUGAGAGGACGAUCAGCCACACUGGGACUGAGACACGGCCCAGACUCCUACGGGAGGCAGCAGCAGGGAAUAUUGCACAAUGGGCGAAAGCCUGAUGCAGCGACGCCGCGUGCGGGAUGAAGGCCUUCGGGUUGUAAACCGCUUUCAGGAGGGACGAAACUGACGGUACCUCCAGAAGAAGGCCCGGCCAACUACGUG